GUCUAUAGAGGAUGUGCAUAAGUUACAAGAUGACUUGGAUAGACUAAGUAUCUGGACAUCAACUUGGCAUAUGAGAUUUAAGUCCCGGUCUGGAGAAGCGCUUCGGCGCGCAACGGUCUGUCACCGAGAGGAUACCCGCGCGUCUCUAAGUCACACUACCCUGUCUGCAUCUCCCCGAUGUGCACCUGAACAUCACGUUCAAUAAAGACAACUUGAAUAAGAAGGUUUGAAACUCACACUGGGAUUUGAUUAAACUGAUUUUUAGCAUACGUUUCAUAUAAAGAACAGCUGAAACACUGCUAUUCUCCAUCUUAACCUGCAUGUCUGCAAUAGGCAGUGAAGUUUUCAUUAGCAGCCUCGGCAUUCCUAUGGCAGAAGUUGAUGAAGACAAGAGGGGAAAUGGGGGCAGGAGGAAUUAGCUGCAGAGUAAGAAAAAGGAAGAGAAAGACAUAGAGCCAUAGCUGUAACUUUGGCUGCCAACUGGGAAAUACAAUUGCUGGCAACUUUCCACUCUACAGUUGGCAAGCGUACUCAAGCAGAACCAUGACUCUUGGAGGGAUGUCAACAUACCAGGCGCUGAAUAAAGGCAUGGGAUUGAAAGCGCAG